GACGAACGCUGGCGGCGUGCCUAAUACAUGCGAGUAGAACGCUGAAGGAGGAGCUUGCUUCUCUGGAUGAGUUGCGAACGGGUGAGUAACGCGUAGGUAACCUGCCUGGUAGCGGGGGAUAACUAUUGGAAACGAUAGCUAAUACCGCAUAACAGUAGAUAUCGCAUGAUAUCUACUUGAAAGGUGCAAUUGCAUCACUACCAGAUGGACCUGCGUUGUAUUAGCUAGUUGGUGAGGUAACGGCUCACCAAGGCGACGAUACAUAGCCGACCUGAGAGGGUGAUCGGCCACACUGGGACUGAGACACGGCCCAGACUCCUACGGGAGGCAGCAGUAGGGAAUCUUCGGCAAUGGACGGAAGUCUGACCGAGCAACGCCGCGUGAGUGAAGAAGGUUUUCGGAUCGUAAAGCUCUGUUGUAAGAGAAGAACGAGUGUGAGAGUGGAAAGUUCACACUGUGACGGUAUCUUACCAGAAAGGGACGGCUAACUACGUG
rnacentral:rRNA from 1 species